rnacentral:lncRNA from 1 species
GCCCACAGCCGCCAGGAGCCCGCUCUCUGCACAACUGCUGUUUAACAGCUACAGCUGCAGAGUGUAAGCACGACUAUCUCUGAGUGCCCACACAAUUCUGAAGCACAGUCCCAUUUAGUUUUGAAGAAAAAAAAAAAAAGCACAAAUCACUGUAGUAUAAGUUUUCAAUUUAUAUCGCCAUAGCAACAAAGGGCCUCAGCUGAAACGAGACCCCCCCCCCGCUCUUGGUGGAAGCGCACAACGCUCCGACAAGAGGCGGCCGCUGCGCUGAGGUCACCGUCCCCGUCCGGCGCGGAGGUGCGGGAGCGCGGCUGCACGGCUCCCGAGAGCGCUGCCCGGCAGGUAAGGAGCAGCGCCGUCAGCCCAGCGCAAUGGGACCAGCAGCAGCGGGAUGGGAGCGGUUUGCCCGCAAACGAGGCUGUGGCAGAGCGGAAGAUGCUGCCGUCUCCUUAACCCUGGAACCAAGAUUUAAUUCACUCUUUCAAACAGAGAUUAAAUCCACUCAGUAGUAGUUUCUACCCAGACGUCAUACAAAUUUCAUUGAAAAGAAGACACGGGGAAUGCUCUUCUAAUCUUUGACAACGACUAUUGAUGUGUUAAUCGUCACCGUACAUUGCAAGGGUGCCACCGGAGCGAAGAGCAAUUAUCGCAUUCCUAAAGCCAUUGCUAAGGGGCGGGGGGGGGGGAACGAAGAUGCUAUGAUUUAUGCUUUGACAGACACUUUUAACGUCACGCUUCUUUAACGACAGAGAAGCGAAGAAAAAAGCCCGCACGGAGCGGGCAGAGCACCAGAAGUUCACCAGUGCCGCCAGCGGCCCCGGAUGCCACCUGUGGGCAGCCCCGCAGCUGCUCCGGAGGUGACGGCGGGGCAGAGCCCCCCGGCCCGCAGCACCGCUACCGGCCUGCUCUCCCCGCUCCCGUCUCCCUGUUCCCGCUCUCCCCGCUCCCGUGUCCCCGCUGCUGCUCUCCUCGCUCCCGUUCCCCUCGCCCUCGGGAGAGAAGCGGCUUCCGCGGAGGAAAGCGCCGGGAGCUCCUCCUUCCCCGUCCCCGCCGUCAGAGUUGAAGUUUGA